UGAACGCUGGCGGCAUGCCUUACACAUGCAAGUCGACCGGUAACGGGCCUUCGGGUGCCGACGAGUGGCGAACGGGUGAGUAAUACAUCGGAACGUGCCCGAUCGUGGGGGAUAACGAGGCGAAAGCUUUGCUAAUACCGCAUACGAUCUACGGAUGAAAGCAGGGGACCGCAAGGCCUUGCGCGGACGGAGCGGCCGAUGGCAGAUUAGGUAGUUGGUGGGAUAAAAGCUUACCAAGCCGACGAUCUGUAGCUGGUCUGAGAGGAUGAUCAGCCACACUGGGACUGAGACACGGCCCAGACUCCUACGGGAGGCAGCAGUGGGGAAUUUUGGACAAUGGGCGCAAGCCUGAUCCAGCCAUGCCGCGUGCAGGAUGAAGGCCUUCGGGUUGUAAACUGCUUUUGUACGGAACGAAAAGCCUUCUUUUAAUACAGGAGGGUCAUGACGGUACCGUAAGAAUAAGCACCGGCUAACUACGUG
rnacentral:rRNA from 1 species